rnacentral:rRNA from 1 species
GACGAACCGUGCGAACGUUAUUCGGAAUCACUGGGCUUAAAGCGCGUGUAGGCGGGACGGCACGUCUGUCGCUGAAAUCCCCGGCUUAACCGGGGAACUGGCGGAGAUACGACCGUCCUGGAGGGGCGUAGGGGACCUGGAACUUCCGGUGGAGCGGUGAAAUGCGUUGAGAUCGGAAGGAACGCCCGUGGCGAAAGCGAGGUCCUGGACGCCUACUGACGCUGAGACGCGAAAGCUAGGGAGCAAACGGG